rnacentral:lncRNA from 1 species
AGAUGAAGUCUAUCAUUUUUGCUUCAGUGAUGUGGGUCAAUGGUUCAGCUUUUACCUGCUUGAUAAAAUAAUUCACAGCGAGGAGUAGAAACUUAUGCUGACUUGGUGCCUGUAGAAAGGGGCAGAGGAUAUCCAUCCCCCAUUACACAAAAGGCCAAGGGGUGCAGAUAGGAGUGAUCGAUAUUGCAAGUAGUCAUUAUAUGUUGGAGUUCUUUUGGCAUUUGUCGCAUCACAUAGUUCUCAGAAUCUUUUUACAUGGUCGGCCAGUAGUCGCCCUACC